CCUACGGGGGGCAGCAGUGAGGAAUAUUGGUCAAUGGACGAGAGUCUGAACCAGCCAAGUCGCGUGAAGGAUGACUGCCCUAUGGGUUGUAAACUUCUUUUAUAAAGGAAUAAAACGAGGCACGUGUGCCUUUUUGCAUGUACUUUAUGAAUAAGGAUCGGCUAACUCCGUGCCAGCAGCCGCGGUAAUACGGAGGAUCCGAGCGUUAUCCGGAUUUAUUGGGGUUAAAGGGAGCGUAGAUGGGAUGUUAAGGCAGUUGGGAAAGUUUGCGGCUCAACCGGAGAAUUGCAAUUGAUACUGGCAGUCUUGAGUACAGUUGAGGUAGGCGGAAUGCGUGGUGUAGCGGUGAAAUGCUUAGAUAUCACGAAGAACCCCGAUUGCGAAGGCAGCUUACUAAACUGUGACUGACAUUGAUGCUCGAAAGUGUGGGUAUCAAACAGGAUUAGAUACCCGAGUAGUC
rnacentral:rRNA from 1 species